rnacentral:rRNA from 1 species
GACGAACGCUGGCGGCGUGCCUAAUACAUGCAAGUCGAACGCAUUUUCUUCCACCGUAGCUUGCUACACCGGAAGAAAAUGAGUGGCGAACGGGUGAGUAACACGUGGGUAACCUGCCCAUCAGCGGGGGAUAACACUUGGAAACAGGUGCUAAUACCGCAUAAUUCCAUCUACCGCAUGGUAGAUGGAUGAAAGGCGCUUUCGCGUCACUGAUGGAUGGACCCGCGGUGCAUUAGCUAGUUGGUGGGGUAACGGCCUACCAAGGCUGCGAUGCAUAGCCGACCUGAGAGGGUGAUCGGCCACACUGGGACUGAGACACGGCCCAGACUCCUACGGGAGGCAGCAGUAGGGAAUCUUCGGCAAUGGACGCAAGUCUGACCGAGCAACGCCGCGUGAGUGAAGAAGGUUUUCGGAUCGUAAAACUCUGUUGUUAGAAAAGAACAAGGAUGAGAGUGGAAAGUUCAUCCCUUGACGGUAUCUAACCAGAAAGCCACGGCUAACUACGUGCCAGCAGCCGCGGUAAUACGUAGGUGGCAAGCGUUGUCCGGAUUUAUUGGGCGUAAAGCGAGCGCAGGCGGUCUUUUAAGUCUGAUGUGAAAGGCCCCGGCUUAACCGGGGAGGGUCAUUGGAAACUGGGAGACUUGAGUGCAGAAGAGGAAAGCGGAAUUCCAUGUGUAGCGGUGAAAUGCGUAGAUAUAUGGAGGAACACCAGUGGCGAAGGCGGCUUUCUGGUCUGUAACUGACGCUGAGGCUCGAAAGCGUGGGGAGCAAACAGG